AAGUCGUAACAAGGUUUCCGUAGGUGAACCUGCGGAAGGAUCAUUAAUGAACUUGUGGUUGUUGCUGGCUAGUGUCUCUAGCAUGUGCACACGCACCUUCAUCCCAUUUACACCUGUGCACCUUUUGUAGUAGUGUUUUGAAAGGGGGGAGUUAACUCUCUCUUCUGGAUCUCCUACUACGUUUUUUACACACACACACAAAUAAUCAUUGAAUGUCAUUUGAUUUUAUAUUGAAAAAACAACUUUCAACAACGGAUCUCUUGGCUCUC
rnacentral:misc_RNA from 1 species